UGGGGAAUAUUGCACAAUGGGCGGAAGCCUGAUGCAGCGACGCCGCGUGGGGGAUGACGGCCUUCGGGUUGUAAACCUCUUUCAGUGCAGAACAAGGCUCUUUGUGGGUUGAGGGUAUGCGCAGAAGAAGCGCCGGCUAACUACGUGCCAGCAGCCGCGGUAAUACGUAGGGCGCGAGCGUUGUCCGGAUUUAUUGGGCGUAAAGAGCUCGUAGGCGGUUUGUCGCGUCUGCUGUGAAAUCCUCUGGCUUAACUGGGGGCGUGCAGUGGGUACGGGCAGACUGGAGUGCGGUAGGGGAGACUGGAAUUCCUGGUGUAGCGGUGGAAUGCGCAGAUAUCAGGAGGAACACCGGUGGCGAAGGCGGGUCUCUGGGCCGUUACUGACGCUGAGGAGCGAAAGCAUGGGGAGCGAACAGG
rnacentral:rRNA from 2 species